rnacentral:lncRNA from 1 species
AGUUGAGUAACAGCCAACUCUGAUAGUAAAGUCCUCAUUCCAUAAUACUCGUAGUGGUUCUUCUUUCCUGACUGAGCUUUGACUGCCACAGUCCUUGCAGACAGAGUCUUGUUCUGUUACCCAGGCUGAAGUGCAGUGGUAUGAUCUCAGCUCACUGCAACCUUGAACUCCUGAACAGCAAUCCUCUUUCCUCAGCCUCACAAGUAACUAGGACUACAGGUGUGCAUCAUCACACCCAGCUGAUUUUUAAAUCGUUUGUAGAGACAGGGUCUUGCUACGUUGUCCAGCCUAGUCUGGCCUCCAGCAAUUCUCCUGCCUUUGACUCCCAAAGUGCUGGGACUAUAAGCAUACACCACCACACCCAGUCAAGGUAAUAAGUAUUUAAUAAAUGUAUGAAUGCGUGAUAGAAUGAGUAAGUAAAUGAAUGAGUUGACUGUGACUUCCUGGCUAAGUAGUUGGCAGAUUCAAAGCUGGAAGAUGGGUUUCCUGAUCCCAGGACCCUUUAUUUCCACUGUCCCCAAAUUGUUGUAAUUCACAAAAUUCUCUUCUUUUACCUCUGUGGGACCUAGGCCUUAAUUUUUGAGGUGUUUGCCUACAGUUAGAGGUGAGAUCUCUGGCUAAGAAUCAUGCUACAACACAAAACUUACCAUUCACUUUAGCCGGCAAGCACAGCUUUUUGAUCUCAUAUGUUUACCAUCUGAUCUUUGUAGUACACACAGACUCUUCACAUAUGUAUUUUCAUUUUGUAAUAUGGCAAUAUGCAUUUAUCUGCUUCUUAUUCAUACAUUUGACAAGAUAGAUACUUCCAUUUUAAAUUUAUUUUGGCAAAGUGUAAUAUUAUUCCAGCAUUUUAUAAAUGAUAAAGAACAAGGUUAAAGAAGGAUUGGAUUCAUCAUGUAAAGGUUAAAUAAUUCUAAUUUUAAGGAAUGAAUAUCAAUUGCUCUUUUAAGAUGUGUUUGAAGAAUUCUUGUCAUUGAGGGAAGCAUUUUUCAAGUCUGUUGAAAUCCGUUCAAGUGUAAGGAGAGGGCUGAAGAAUGCAUGGUAAACAGAUGACUUUUGCAUAUUAAGGUAUUUUGAAUUGUACUCUUCUUGCCAUAGGAAUAAUGGGUAUCUUUAAAAUCGGGUAUUCUUGCAAAAUUGUAGCAUAGCUUUGUGGUAGCUUUAAACACUCAGAAAAAGGAUUCUUGAAAAACGAAUGAAAUUCUGGCAAAAACAAACAAACAACAAAAAAACAAAACCACCUAAAUACUAAGUAGUUUAGAUUAUUUGAAUGAAAUAUUUUCCCAUGCUGUCAAAUUUACAUCCAAUUUUCUAUGUUUUAUUCAAAGAGAGUUCUGUCAUACAAAGAUUAGAGGUUCACCAAAAACGGCUACUACAUCUUAUUGUUUUCUAAACCUGACUUCUUCAUAUAUAGGUAAACAAUUUUAGAUAAAUUUAACUUUCCAUGUAUUUGUUUCACCAUUUGUAAACUGAAAGAAUUGGACUUAGAUGAUCUUUAGAUUCUGAACUUCAGAGACUUUGUGUAUAAUAGCUAAAGUAGAGAUAAAUUCAAUAUUUGCAGGAUGGUUUGAUUUGUAAUAUCUAGAUAGAUACACAUAAAUAGAUUGAAACAGAUAAAAUACUUGGUACACCUGGAAACACUAUAUAUAUGAAAAUUAAUAGAUGAUAAAAUGAAUAUGCAGAUUGGUAAAAACAAUAAAUAUGUACUUGAACACUUAAAGAGAAAAACUCUAAAUAAAGUCAUAGAGGGGAUGGUAGAGAUGGCCACAGAAAAUGACCACGGAGAGUAUUAUGAAGAUUGCAAGAUUAGACAUUGAUGAUGUAAAUUACUCCCUUUCUAGAUAAAAUAAUCCAUAGAUGUUUAUGAAUCAUAUUUGUAUGAUUAUUGCUGUUACUAUUAUUUUGACACAUUAUUUAUUAUUAUUGUUGUCAUUAUUAUUACCAUUAAGAUAGCAGGCGUAAAACUGUACGCAGAAUGGCUGCAGUGUGGAGAAGAUGAGGAUCUCCAGGAAGAAAAAAAGAGGUUGCUCUCACUAGAACAUGCCUUUUAAUUGCCAAGGAAUUAAUAAUGCACCUUUUUUAAGCUUCAGUUGCGCUCAACUCAAAAAUCUACUCUACAGGAUAAUUGGCCUUUCCUUGCCUAUCUCUUUGCUUCUUGCAAGGAGUAAUAAAAUUAAACAUACUCUCAAUGAGUAGGAAGUUUCUAAGAUGCUUAGCCUUGAUAUGUAAUUUUCAAAUAUGUGCUUUUUUAGAGAUUUUUCUAUUUUUAGCUUAAUCUCUUUCUGCUGCUGCUUCCAUUGAGUCUUUUCAUCAGACAACUCCCUUCUUCCCUUUCGGAAUAUAAGUUCCUUUAAGGUUAGAGGUAAUAUUCUGUUCACUUCAUCCUCUUAUUUCCAAACAUGAUUCCUGGCAUACAAAGGGUGCUUAGUGAAUUUUCUGAAUGAGCCACAGUAUGCAAAUUAUAAUGAAAUUCAUACCCCUAAUGUUGUACACACCUAAAUUUGAUUUACAGCAUAAUUUACUGUGGUAGUCUGUGUACAGACAGGUUUUGCUGUUCAUUAAAAUAAGAUCACAACCUCCUUCCUAUACUCUCAAUAUAAUAAUUUUAAAACUGUACUAAAUGUUAGAGUACUUAAGAUUAUUGAUGUAUUCAGAGACAGAGUAGUACAUGAUUCAGUACCAACAGGGCAUCAUCACAAAUUUAGAAUUGUGCUCACAUUUAUGGAAAGAUGGUUUGCAUUCAACUGAGAAUAAGUAUUAAUUUAUUUGAUAAAUAUUUAUGGAGCACCUGCUAUUAGUAAUUUUUCUAAGCAUGUGGGAUACAAAACUUUCUCUAUGAAGUUUAUCAUUCAGGGAAGAGAAACAAACAGUAAAUAAUUAAAAUGACAAAUAGGUCAACUGUGAAGUAUGCUAUAAAGUGCUACGUGGGAAAUACAGAGAUGGGGCAGUAGGAUGUGGUAUGUGAGUUGAGGAAUAUUUUGUAGGCAGUUUGUAGUUUUAAAUAAGGGGAGUUAGUGUAGGUAUCAUUGGUAGGACGAUAUAUGAGCUAAGACUUGAAGGAGAGGUGAGAUCUAGCUAAGAGGACAUCUAGAGGAAGAGUCUUCCUUGCAGAAAAAAAACAGUAUGUCUGGAAAAAAAUAUAGAACUGCAAGAAGCCAAUUAUGGCUGAUGAUGGGUCAGAUGGAAAGGGAAGAAUGUUAGUAGAAAAAUACAUCAGAUUGGAAGCACAGUAUCCAAUGAAUAUUGAAGGAAUUUGUAAAAGUUUAGUUCUAUUAUAAGUAAAGUGGCUCAGCACUACAGGAUUUUAAACAGAGGAGUGACAAAGCGGACAUAUUUUCAAAGGAUCAUUCUGGUUGAUAUGUUAAAGAGAGGGCAGAGCUAGGAACAUGGACACCUACUAAAAUCUGUUUUACAUUAAAGUGGGAAAUGAUGAUGACUUUAGCCAGCAUGGUAGUAAUUGAGAUGGAAAGUAGUUGGAUUCUGGAUGAAUUUGAACGUAAAUUCAACAGACUUUGCUGAUGUAUUAGAAAUAGCUGUAUAAUAGAGCGAGAGAGAGAAGUCAGGGAUAAAUAUUUUCCACCUGAAAAUUAUCAAGCAUUGUCUGUGGGUCAUAGUAGCUAUUGAUAAAAUGUAGCUUGAAUAACAUAAGUAAUACAUAACUGUGAUUUAAUGUAUGUUUUAUUUGGAAAGGCAUAGAUGCUGAUAUUCCAAACUCAAGAGAAGCAGACUUAAUUAGCCAUAAUAUGAAGUAAAGAGCUGAGCCAAAAGUAGGUCCUAGAUAAAUACAGGCACACCUUAUUUUAUUGUGCUUCACUCUUCUGCACCUCACAGAUACUGCAUUUUUACAAAUUGAAGGUUUGUAGCAAUCUUGCUUUGGGCAAGCCUAUGGGCACUAUUUUUCCACCAACGUAUGGUCACUUCAUGUCUCUGGGUCAGGUUUCAAUAAUUCUCCCAAAUUUUCAAACUUUCUCAUUAUUAUUUUAUCUGUUAUGGUUAUCGGUGACCAAUGAUCUUUGAUGUUACUGUUGUAAUUGUUUUGGGGAGCCACAAAUCACACCCAUACACUACUGUAAACAAAGUAGCCAAAAAUAAGUGGCUACCUCCUUUUUUUUCUAUUCUUUUAUACAUACGUAUUUGCCCUUUCUCCCUUGUCACUUGACACUCUUCUUUUCCGUGACUAACUAUAUACUUGCUUAAGAUUUCCAGGAACUAAUAUUGAAACCAUUCAGCUAUGAAGGCGAGAUUUCAGGAUACUUUUUUUCCAGAGAAGGGAUCAGCAAGCAGUUAAUCCACAACCCAGUCAUGGUGAAGCUGACACCAGCCAGGCUUCUAGAUGGUCCUUUACUCAUGAUAGCCAUUGGAAUAAGACGUGUAGACCUGUGCCUUGCACCACUCCUGCAUUUUAGUUUCCAUGGUUCCUUUCUCCUUGAAAUCCCUUUGGUCAGCCUGAAAAUUUUGAGAUGUUUUUGUGACACCAUCUCCUCAGGUUGUGUCCACCAUCUCCUCAGGCUGUCAGCUUUUGAAUAAACCUGUAUUUUCUUCCACCAACUCUUGUACAUGUCUCUCACUUUAAAUCGAAAGCCACACAUAACUAAGCUUAGUGAGGAAGGCAUGUCAAAAGCUGAGAGAGGCCAAAAGCUAGGCAUUUUCUGCCAAACAGUUAGCUAAGUUGUGAAUGUAAAGAAAAAGUUUUUGAAGGAAAUUAAAAGUGCUAGUCCAGUGAACACACAAAUAAUAAGAAAGCGAAACUAUGGUUGGUAUGGAGAAGGUUAUAGUAGCUUUGAUAAAUGAUGAAAACAGUUAUAACAUGUACUUAAGCUAAAGUCUAAUCCAGAGCAAGGCAGGCCUUAACUCUCUUCAAUUCCAUGAAGGCUGAGAGGGUUGAGGAAGCUGCAGAAGAAAAGUUGGAAGCUAGCAGAGGUUAGUUCAUGGGGUUUAAGGAAAAAAGUCAUCCCCAUAACAUAAGAGAAUGAAGUGGAGCCACAAGUACUGAUAUGGAAGCUGCAUCAAAUUAUCCAGAAGAUUUAGCUAAGACAAUUGAUAAAGAUGGCUACAAUAAACAACAAAUUUUCAAUGUAGAUCAAACAUCCUUAUAUUGGGAAAAGAUUCCAUCUAGGACUUUCAUAACUAGAGAAAAGUCAAUGCCUGGCUUCAAAGCUUCAGAGGAGAGGCUGAUUCUCAUUAGGAAAUAAUGCAGCUGGUGACUUUAAGUGGAAGCCCAUGCUCAUUUACCAUUCCCAAAAUCCUAGGGCCCUAAGGAAUUAUGCUAGGUCUAUUCUUCCUAUGCUCUAGAAAAGGAACAACAAAGCCUAGAUGACAGCACAUUUAUUUGCAGCAUAGUUUACUAAAUACUUUAAGCCUAAUGUUGAGACCUACUGCUCAGAAAAAAAAAGGCUUUCAAAAUAUUACCAUUCAUUGAGAAUGCACCUCAUUGCCAAGAGUUCUGAUUGAAAUGUACAAGAAGAGUAAUGUUUUCAUGCCUGCUACCACAACAUCCAUUCUAUAGCCCAUGGCUCAAGGAGUAAAGUCUUAUUAUUCAAGAAACAGAUUUUGUAAGGCUAUAGCUUCCAUAGAUAGUGAUUCCCCAAUAGAUCGGUGCAAAGUAGAUUGAAAACCUUCUAGAAAGGUUUCAUAAUUCCAGAUGACAUUAAGAACAUUCUUGAUCCAUGGGAAGAGGCCAAAAUAUCAACAUUACUAGGAGUUUGGAAGAAGCUGAUUCCAGUCUUCAUGGAUGACUUUCAGGGUUUCAAGGCUUCAGUGGAGGAAGUAACUGUAAAUGUGAUAGAAAUAGAAAGACAACUGGAAUUAGAAGUGAAGCCUACAGAUGUGACUGAAUUCUUGCAAUCUCAUGAUAAAACUUGAAUGGAUGAGAUAUUGUUUCUUGUGGAUGAACGAAGGUCAUUUCUUGAAAUGGAAUACACUCCUGGUGAAGAUGCUGUGAACAUUGUUGAAAUGACAACAAAGGAUCUCAAAUAUUACAUAAACUUAGUAGAUAAAGCAGCAGUAGGGUUUAUGAAGAUUGACUUCAAUUUUGAAAGAUGUCUUACUAUCAAACAGAAUCACCAGUGACAGAUAAAUCUUUCAUGAAAGGAAGAGUCAAUUGAUGUGACAAACUUCAUUAUGGUGUUUUUUUUUAAGUUGCCAAACACACUCUGACCUGUAGCAACCACCACCCUGAUUAGUCAGCAGCUAUCAGCAUGGGGGCAAGAACUUCCACCAGCAAAAAGGCUAGGACUCACUAGAGGCUCAGAUGAUUGUUGGCAUUUUUAGCAAUAAAGUAUCCUUAAAUUAAAAUCUGUAGUUUAUUUUUAGAAACAAUACUAUUGCACACUUAACAGACUACAGUAUAGAGUAAACAUAUAUUUUAUACACACCAAGAAAUUAAAAAAACUUGUGUGACUUGCUUUAUUACAGUAUUCACUUUAUUUCUUUAUUUCUUUAUUUCUUUAUUUCUAUGGUCUGGAAGAAAAUCUGCAAUGUCUUUGAGCUAUUUCUGUCAUUAAGCCCUCUGGAGGAGAUGGAAAAAACUUAGUGUUGGCCAAGCAUGGUGGCUCACGCCUGUAAUCCCAGCACUUCAGGAGGCUGAGGCGAAUGGAUCCCUUGAGGCCAGUAGUUGAAGACCAGCCUGGCCAACAUGGUGAAGCUGUAUCUCUACUAAAAUGCAAGAAAAAGAGCCAGGCACUGUGAUGCAUGCCUGUAAUCCCAGCUAGUUGGGAGACUGAGGCACAAGAAUCUCUUGAACCUGGAAGGCAGAGGUUGCAGUGAGCCAAGAUCACGCCACUGCACUCCAGCCUGGGCGAGACUAUGUCUCAAAAAAAAAAAGAAGAAGAAGAGAGAAGAAAAGAAAACAGAAAAAAAAUCAGUGUUUCUCCUUUCCUACUUUCACAUAGCCAUUCAACACAUCCCUUUCUGACAUCAGAUGCGUGGGGGUUUUUAGCUACACACCAAGCAGUUCUGCAGUGGACAUCAUCUACCUGGUGUUUUCAAUUCAACAUCGACACUAUCUACCUGGAGGUAGAGUCAGAUUCCACAGGUUGAGGGCUCAGUUUCACAAGACUGCCCAUCACUCCAGACCCAGUCAUAACUGCAGGUUUUUACCUAGACUUCUGACCAACUGGGUGUAAAUGGAAAGUGCCCAUGACCCCUUGCAUGGGUUCCUUUAAUUUCCUAGAGUGGCUCACAGAACUCAGGGAAACACUUUACUUACAUUUACCCAUUUAUUAUAAAGAAUAUUACAAAGGAUAGGGAUGAACAGCCAGAGGAAAGAGAUGUAUAGCGUGAGGUAUGGGAGAAAGUGCAAAGCUUCCAUGUUCUUUUUGGGUGUGCCACCCUUUAAGAACCCCUAUGUGUUCAGCAAUCCAAAAGCUCCUGAACCCAAUCCUUUCGGUUUUUAUGGAACCUUUAUUUAAUAGGCAUGAUUUAUCAUAUGGUUGGCCAUUGGUAAUUAAUUCAACCUUUAGCCCCUCUCCCCUCCCUAAAGGUUAGAGGGUUAGGGUUGAAACUCCCAACCCUCUAAUCCUCCCUUGGUCUUUUAGGUGACUGGCCCUCAUCCUGAAGCUGUCUAGGGGCCCCCAGCCACCAGUCAUGUCAUGAGUAUCCAAAAGACACUCAUCACUCUGAAGAUUUCAAGGGCUUUAGGAGUUGUAUGUCAGGAAAUGGGGACUAAGACCAAGUUUAUAUUUCACAGUAUCACUGUCCUACUGACAUAUGAAUACACAUCUAAUGUUCUGGGCUUAUAUUUAUAUACUGUGUGUAUGUAUGUACAUGCACAAAAAACUAAACUGUGAUUAACAAAGAAUGG